GGAUAAGGUACAAACUCCAUGCCGAUAGCACCCCGGGUCCGGGUGUGCACAGGCAGUGAUGAUUAAAUAUCCUCAAUAUUGCACUUGGCUGUAGCCACCUGAAUUGGUCUGGACUCAUCUUGCCAUGAAUCAGUGACUUGUCUGUGCACCAUUGUUUCUCUUCUUACCCGCCAAAUGCAUCACUUUGAGACACUGCUUCAUGUCCAUGUGAAAUCAUGUUGGUAUUUUAAGAAGCAGUUCUUUAUUGACACAUUCUGAAGAAAAGCAUCAUAUUUAUUGACUGUAAUGCAGAGCAACAGUACAUGUGAACUGGGUAAAAGAGCUCUUGAAAUGUUUUGUGUAAGACUUGCAUGCUAAAUGGCAUGUGUUGUCUUCUGCCCUAAACAAAGAGAGCCAGUACUUGAUGAACACAACUGCUGCAAGUCCAGUUUUGCCACGGCCUGCCCGUUGCUGAAGCCUCAUUCCAGCGGGAUUCACUCUGUUUCCACAGCCGGUGCAGAAAGUGUUGAGCAGCCCACCCCUGAAGCUUGAUUCACCACGAAGAGAAGCAACAUGAUUCCCAAGACCUUUUAAGCCAGGUAAGAGAUUAUUCCACACAGUUACAGCAAAAAACUAAUGUUGGUAUAGUCUUCCUGGCCUGGAAGUUCUUGGUUUGGUUCUGUAGAAAAAGAAAAAGAAAAAGAAACUCCUGUAGAAUCACAAAGCUCUUGCCAGACUGAUUCUUCAGUUUGUGGCAAAAGAGAGAGGCCUCUGUGACAGCUGUCAUCCUGCUAUAUCGUUCAUACGUGUCUGAGGGAUUUCCGUGUUGAACCUGGUCAGAUUUGAAGUGCUUUUGGCUAUGGUGGCACAUUUCUUGCCUAGCUUUUAUGUGCAUUUCCAAACAGCCUGCAUGUUAACAGUUGAGGACUACAGACUCAUUUUAAGUGUUUAAGGAAAAG
rnacentral:lncRNA from 1 species